rnacentral:rRNA from 1 species
CUUCGUGGGAGUGAGAAUGCAGACAUGAGUAGCGAGAGACGGGUGAGGAUCCCGUCCGCUGGAUGACCAAGGGUUCCGGGGCCACGUUCGUCGUCCCCGGGUGAGUCGGGUCCUAAGGCGAGGCCGACAGGCGUAGUCGAAUGGAUGAACGGGUGGAUAUUCCCGUACCGACCAUGGACCGGCAAAACCGAGACGGUGAGUACUAACCUCCGCCUCGUGGUGGUUCCUUCCUUCGGGUUGGUUCCGUCGCGUGGCGUUGGGACUGUAGCCGCAGUAGGUCAGCGCAGGGGUGACACGGAAUGGGAGCCGGCCGCGGAGGUGGUUUUCCGUGGUCAAGCACGCAGCCAGUCAUGUAGGCAAAUCCGCAUGGCGUGCAUGGCGAGGUGUGAUGAUGGGAGCCGUUAUGGCUCGAUAUCCGGUUGUCCAGGCCGUCGAGAAAAGCCUCGGCGUGAGGGCCAUGGCCGCCCGUACCCCAAACCGACACUGGUGGUCAGGUAGAGAAUACCAAGGCGAUCGAGCGAAUCCUGGUCAAGGAACUCGGCAAAUCACUCCCGUGCCUUCGGUAUAAGGGAGACCCACUGGGGUGAAGGACCUUGCGUCCGGAGCUUUGGUGGGUGGCACAGACCAGGGGGUAGCGACUGUUUACCAAAAACACAGGUGCAUGCGAAGGCGAAAGCCGCUGUAUAUGCACUGACGCCUGCCCGGUGCCGGAAGGUUAAGAGGAUCCGUCAAUCCCUUCGGGGACGAAGCGGUGAAUUCAAGCCCCGGUAAACGGCGGUGGUAACUAUAACCAUCCUAAGGUAGCGAAAUUCCUUGUCGGGUAAGUUCCGACCUGCACGAAUGGCGUAACGACUUCCCCACUGUCUCGACCAGGAGCUCGGCGAAAUUGCAGUACGAGUAAAGAUGCUCGUUAAGCGCAGAAGGACGAAAAGACCCCGGGACCUUUACUAUACCUUGGUAUUGGCGUUAGGCGCGGAUUGUGUAGCAUAGGCGGGAGGCUUCGAAGCGGGUGCGCCAGCAUUCGUGGAGCCGCAAGGUGAAAUACCGCUCUGUUCUCGUUUGACGUCUAACCUCGACAAGUCAUCCUUGUCAGGGACAGUGCCUGGCGGGUAGUUCAACUGGGGCGGUUGCCUCCCAAAGAGUAACGGAGGCGCUCAAAGGUCCGCUCAGCCCGGUUGGCAAUCGGGUGUCGAGUGUAAUCGCACAAGCGGGCUUGACUGCGAGGACGACGGUCCGAGCAGGGACGAAAGUCGGAGAUAGUGAUCCGGUGCCGGCGCACGGGCGCGGCAUCGCUCAACGGAUAAAAGGUACCCCGGGGAUAACAGGCUGAUCAUUCCCAAGAGUCCAUAUC